ensembl:lncRNA uncharacterized LOC115205254
CCCGUGCAGCUGGUGGCGGUAAUGCACCAUUAACAUUGGAUGCCAACCGUCGUUAAACCCCAUCGAAGACGAAGAAGAAGAAGAAGAAGAAGAAGAAGUGGUGGCGGCGGCAAUACACCAGUAUGUGUAGUCUGCCAUAAAACUUUGAAGAAGAAGAAGCGCACGAGCACUUCUCAGGGUGUUUAAUUAUUUUCUUUUAAUGUUUUAUCAAGACAAGCAAGUUGAAAAUGACCUUUGCCUUUCCUCUAUGAAGGAAUGUUUUUAUAGAUGAAGAUCUAGACUAAAACGUUGAAUAGCUAACUGAAUGGAAACUUAAUAGUUGAAUGAAUGAGACUGGCGUCUUGAAAAGAUAGAACAUGUACCUGUUGCACUUCUCUAUUGCCAUCAUUCUUGGGUUUGUGUGGUAUUUAUUUGACCGCGGACAAGUAGCGGCUCAAAUUGUUUUAUGUUUACUAUUUUGGCAAUCAACCCCAAAUGUUUUAAUAAAGACCAGACGGGAAAGCGGCACUCAGACAGACGAUGUGGUUGAAGAAGAUUUAUUCCAGGAAACCACUGACCAUUUAGGUUGUGAUGUGACUGAUACAACAAGCACUAAAGCUGAAACAUCACAGGAGAGACAGUUUCCCCAUGUGAAGAGGUCUCUUCAGCAAGCACUGGACCUGCUGGUGCGGUGGCUCUCAGACCCUGACAACCUCAACCAGCUGGUGGUGAGUCAGCUGGAUGGAGCGACCCGUAAGAGCUCUGUGGAGGAGCUGUGUGAGUCCCACUCUGACAGGGCCUCUCCCGUCUCCCUGGAGAGCCAGGCCAGUGGAGCGAUGCAGGAAGAAACAGAGGAUGCUCAAACCAGUGACAGCAAGUCCAAAAAGAAAGCCAACAAAUUGAAGGAAGGCUGGUCUAAAUUCCUUGACAAGAUGAGAUUGAAGAAGGCUAAAAGGGAGAAGAUGAAGAAAAGGGAGCAGGCGCUGGUUGUCACGGCCAUGUCUAUCCAGGGUCGUCCAUCAAACGAAAAUGAAGGGAGUAGCCGGAACCAGCAGGACUCUGACAGCGAGGACAGUGAUCUGGAGAGCUACUGGAACAGUGUACAAGAGGAUAUGAUGGAAUUCAAGCUGUCGUAUGAGCUGUGGCGGGUUGGCCACUGGGCUGUCAGCGUCCCUUGUGUGGAGAGGGAAAACGAGGAACUGUGUUUUACAGUUCACCUGGAGGAGAGGGACAACCCUGAAAAUCUUCACUGGAACGUGAGGAAGACCCAAACAGACAUCAUCCACUUCCGCAACCUAUGGCAGGACUCUGCUACUUUACCCUCCCUAUACAUGUUAGAGGAGAGCACUGAGGUGAACAUCAAUGAGGAUUUCAAAGAAGCCAGGAAGUCCAUCAAGCUCUUCUUACAGGAGCUGGUGUCUGAUGUUCUAGUGGGCCACACUCAGCCAGUAUUUCAGUUUCUGUGUCCUCUGGAAAAGCUGCUGGUUGAAGAGGAUCAUGUGUGGGGCCUCUUCAGUGGCCUGGCCUACUUCCUGACUCCGGGCCAAGAGGAAGAUGAGGACAAGCACAACAGCCUUGGAAGAGGGACCAAACCAGAUGAUUCCAACACAACGGAGGCUGCAGAACCAACUGCAACUGAGAACCUGGAUGGCGAUACAAGGGAUGACCUGGCCCGGGGCCCAUGUAUCAUCAUCUCCCAAUGUGAUGAGUAUUCUCCUUCAGAACCCAGUUCCAUUGAGUGCUGCAGAGAUGACGAGCCCGAACCAAUAGAGAAAUCUGACAUUUUGGUUAAAGCAGACAAAACCGAGGAAUCUGAGAAACCCAUAACUUCCCAACUAAAGAUGGCAAUCAAAGGACUAUCUAGAUCAGAGGAGUGUCUGGCCCAAACAAAAUCAGACACACCUGAAGACCAGACUGACUCUUUCUGUAGACUGCGACGUUCCAGUGAAAAUGGAGGCUCGCAAUUUUACCUCGCUGACAGUCCAUCACAUCCUUUCGGUGGAAAGUCGAAUAAAAAGGAGAAACUCACUUUCAAAAUGUCAGGAGGUAUCCCCAGGAGUAAAGGAAAUGAAAUGGGGAGUCAGCCAAAAUUAGAAGACUCACGGUGUUUGAAAAAGGAACAAUCCAGCUGGGAGCAAAUGGAAGCAACCAAAGCCCUUUUUGAUUUGUUGAAAGCAAUAUCUGGCAAUUCCAUCCUUCUGAACAUAUUUGAUGCGAUUCUGAAACCCGUCAUGCCGAUAUUGAAAAAGAAAGUGAACCGCUUCUUGAAUAAUAUGAACCCAACGGAAGCACAGAUUGCCUCCUAUAUCGACAACCUGCGUGAGAAUCAGUGGCCCGAGGGCUUGCCGGAGAUGACUUGCCCCAUACCCCAUCGCAGCAGUGAGGAGAAGCAUGAGACCAAAGACAGAGCUCACCACCUCAUCAAUGCCAGAUGUACGUGA